AGCGAACGCUGGCGGCAGGCCUAACACAUGCAAGUCGAACGAACCUUUCGGGGUUAGUGGUGGACGGGUGAGUAACACGUGGGAACGUGCCUUUAGGUUCGGAAUAACUCAGGGAAACUUGUGCUAAUACCGAAUGUGCCCUUCGGGGGAAAGAUUUAUCGCCUUUAGAGCGGCCCGCGUCUGAUUAGCUAGUUGGUUGAGGUAAUGGCUCACCAAGGCGACGAUCAGUUGCUGGUCUGAGAGGAUGAUCAGCCACAUUGGGACUGAGACACGGCCCAAACUCCUACGGGAGGCAGCAGUGGGGAAUCUUGCGCAAUGGGCGAAAGCCUGACGCAGCCAUGCCGCGUGAAUGAUGAAGGUCUUAGGAUUGUAAAAUUCUUUCACCGGGGACGAUAAUGACGGUACCCGGAGAAGAAGCCCCGGCUAACUUCGUG
rnacentral:rRNA from 1 species